rnacentral:rRNA from 1 species
GGGCGCCUACGGGAGGCAGCAGUGAGGAAUAUUGGUCAAUGGUCGGGAGACUGAACCAGCCAAGCCGCGUGAGGGAUGAAGGUACAGAGUAUCGUAAACCUCUUUUGUCAGGGAACAAAGGCGGGGACGCGUCCCCGGAUGAGUGUACCUGAAGAAAAAGCAUCGGCUAACUCCGUGCCAGCAGCAGCGGUAAUACGGAGGAUGCGAGCGUUAUCCGGAUUUAUUGGGUUUG